ACGGGAGGCAGCAGUGAGGAAUAUUGGUCAAUGGAGGCAACACUGAACCAGCCAUCUCGCGUGAAGGAAUACGGCCCUACGGGUCUUAAACUUCUUUUAUAGGGGGAUAAAGUGAGCCACGUGUGGCUUUUUGUAGGUACCCUAUGAAUAAGCAUCGGCUAACUCCGUGCCAGCAGCCGCGGUAAUACGGAGGAUGCGAGCGUUAUCCGGAUUUAUUGGGUUUAAAGGGUGCGCAGGCGGCACGUUAAGUCAGCGGUGAAAUGCAGGGGCUCAACCCCGGCACUGCCGUUGAAACUGGCGAGCUCGAGUACGGAUGAGGUCGGCGGAAUGUGACGUGUAGCGGUGAAAUGCAUAGAUAUGUCACAGAACACCGAUUGCGAAGGCAGCCGGCCAAUCCGCAACUGACGCUCAUGCACGAAAGCGUGGGGAUCGAACAGGAUUAGAUACCCUGGUA
rnacentral:rRNA from 1 species